UUGUGUUGUGGCAUCUGACAUGGAACAGAGGAAUAAGCUCCUCUUAGUGAAAUCAAUGAAAUGUUUUUUUUUUUUUUAAUUUUUUUAUCACAAGUCAUACUAGUUGUUGAUUGGUCAUUAGAUUUUAUGUCAGCAACUAAACUAGGCCCCUCUGCUUCUAAUUAAAAUUUCAGUCUGUGUAACUGUAAGCUUGCAGACAUGGACAUCCUUCUUUAUCCCUUGUUGAGCACUUGGCCCAGACGUUUAACAAUCUUAUGCAGCCUGCGCUGGGUUAGUUGGUCCAGUCAGGGCUUGGGGAGGUUAUUAAUAACUCUUCCCUGAUCUUUCAUUACUCCUUUUCACGUCAGGAAGUCAAGAUUUGCUGGUCAAGGCCAGUACACUGAUAGGCAGGAGGAGGAAUUUGGUGGUCAGGAACACUGGAGACCAAAAUGAAAAACCGCUAGCUUUAUUGCUCAGUCUUUUCAUUUGGACAUGCAGUAUAGUUUCACGAUGACAAGAACACAUGUUAGAGUUUUGCAGUGUUCUUAUGCUGCUUUGGAUUGCACUUAAAUUUUAUUUGUAUGGUAUGUGUUCUUUGUUUUCAUUGCAUUCCUUUAAACUAAGGAACGAGUCCCAAACUGCUCAAAUAUAUUUUGAAGUAAUGAAUCUAUACUAGUUUGUCACUUGAUUCAGAUCUAUCUCAUCAAGUCAGUGUACAUGGGAAAAUAGCUCAACUUUAGCCUCACCUGGAACAGCCUUUAAUGCUUUACGUCAUUCAGUAGCACCUUCCUGUUUCCUGUUUGGGGCAUCUGGCAUGUCCAUUUACUGGUCCCCCAAAAAAAAUACAUCCCAGGGGCUGUGUGACCUACUAGAUGACCGCACCAGAUAAAACAUGACUGAGGCCUCUCCUCAAGACCCUCCUCACCCUGUUUUUGUGGUCUUAAUUUGGCAGGAGUUGAAAAAACCUUGCUGACAGAUGAGAUGCACCACUUAACACACAAAGCCUGGACAUUAGGGCUGUGACGAUGACUUGUUUUCACCGGCCACGUUUGUCUGUCUGAGAGUUGGAAGCAUUAGCACUUAAGACAACUGCUGUUUUUUAAUAAAUUUUCACUGCGUUCUG